UACGUAGGGACCAAGCGUUGUUCGGAUUUACUGGGCGUAAAGGGCGCGUAGGCGGCCUAGCAAGUCACUUGUGAAAUCUCCGGGCUUAACUCGGAACUGCCAAGUGAAACUGCCAGGCUAGAGUGCAGAAGGGGCAAUCGGAAUUCUUGGUGUAGCGGUGAAAUGCGUAGAUAUCAAGAGGAACACCUGAGGUGAAGACGGGUUGCUGGGCUGACACUGACGCUGAGGCGCGAAUGCCAGGGGAGCAAACGGG
rnacentral:rRNA from 1 species